GACGUAGGGGGCAAGCGUUGUCCGGAAUCAUUGGGCGUAAAGCGCUCGUAGGUGGAUCGGUAAGUCUGCAAAGAAAGACCCGGGCUCAACUCGGGGAACGGUGUGGAUACUACCGAUCUUGAGGCAAUCAGAGGAUGAUGGAAUUCCCGGUGUAGCGGUGAAAUGCGUAGAUAUAGGAAGGAACACCAGUGGCGAAGGCGACCACCUGGACUGAUACUGACACUGAGGUGCGAAAGCGUGGGGAGCAAACAGG
rnacentral:rRNA from 1 species